rnacentral:rRNA from 1 species
UACGUAGGGGGCGAGCGUUGUCCGGAUUUAUUGGGCGUAAAGAGCGUGUAGGCGGCCAGGUAGGUCAGCUGUGAAAACUCGAGGCUCAACCUCGAGACGUCGGUUGAAACCACCUGGCUAGAGUCCGGAAGAGGAGAGUGGAAUUCCUGGUGUAGCGGUGAAAUGCGCAGAUAUCAGGAAGAACACCCGUGGCGAAGGCGGCUCUCUGGGACGGUACUGACGCUGAGACGCGAAAGCGUGGGGAGCGAACAGG